AGACACCUUAAAAAGUCUCCCUAUAUUCGCUCUACUCCAAAUGAUCUUAAUGAUAAACUAAAACUCGCUCUUCCAGCGCUUCACGGCAGGUUCGGGAAAUCCGCGCGCGAGCCAGCACACAUUUCAACAGGAGCGCGUGGCUGUUAGAUCGCCUGCAGAUAUUUAUUAGAGCUGUAUGAAAUUUUCAUGUGGUGUGAAGCAUUCUCUUUCAUCCAGCAGCCUGCUGUCAAGCGUGAGGCGGAAGCCGAGGUAGCUCCGCACGGGAGGGAGGCAGCGUUUAAGAGCGGGGGGCCAUGCCUUCAGGUGACAUCAUCAAAGACAAGGGUGAGGGGGCGGGAACAUCAUCAACCCAGAUCAGCCAAUUAGAAGAAGACUUUGCUUAGCACAACUGUUUGACGAGAUGAGAGGCUUUGGGGAUGAUGAGUCGAGCCAGAGAACAAAGAUGUGAAGUGAACUAAUCAGUGAAUAAACACCAGUAGGUCACACACUACCAUUCAAAAGUCUGGGGUCAGUAGGACUUGUAUAAUUUUAUUUAGCAAGGAUGCAUUAUUAAGAAUUCUAUUCCAAAUACAGUACAUGCUGUUCCUUUGUAACUUUAUUCUUCAGUAAAAAAAAAAAAAAAAAAGUUUACCACGUGUUUCAAUACUAAAAUAUAUAAAUUGUAAUAAUAUUUCACAAUAUUACUGUUUUUCCUUGAUUUUUGAUCAAAUAAAUGGAGCCCUGGUGAGCAUAGGAAAAUUCUUUCAAAAAUAUUUUAAAAAUCAAACCAACCCAAACUUGUGAUCGGUAGUGUAGAUAUAUGGGCCUUUUUCUAAGCUAGUUAGUUCUUACAAACCUCAUGACCAACCAAACCCACCCACUCAGUAUGUGGGUCCAAUUGCAAACAUUUAAACUCCCAGUUACUUCUUUGACAGAUCAGAUGUCUUCUCCUUCAGAUUCUGUACUCUCUCUCUCUCUCUCUCUCUCUCUGUCUUGCCUCUCUUGUUUGUCUCCUCUCUCUAACCUGUUCUGUGCCUUGCAUGUAUUCAGCCUUCAUGUAUUCAGCCUUGGGUGUUGUUGUGUGAAUGUAAAAGCCUUUAAGUUCUCUGAUUGGCUGUGUCUCAAUCACAUGCUUGAGUUUGGGGGCGGGGUAACAGUUUGUCUUAUCGUUGCUUGUCGCAUUAGGCAGUUUCAGCGCCGGAAAUGGCCUAAAGUGAGGAAGCCUGUCUCCAAAUCGCUAGGACAGAUAUGGGAAGGAUGGGAAGGAUAA
rnacentral:lncRNA from 1 species